rnacentral:rRNA from 1 species
AUUGAACGCUGGCGGCAUGCCUUACACAUGCAAGUCGAACGGUAACAGGUCUUCGGAUGCUGACGAGUGGCGAACGGGCGAGUAAUACAUCGGAACGUGCCCGAGAGUGGGGGAUAACGAAGCGAAAGCUUUGCUAAUACCGCAUACGAUCUCAGGAUGAAAGCAGGGGACCGCAAGGCCUUGCGCUCACGGAGCGGCCGAUGGCAGAUUAGGUAGUUGGGGGGAUAAAAGCUUACCAAGCCGACGAUCUGUAGCUGGUCUGAGAGGACGACCAGCCACACUGGGAAUGAGGCACGGCCCAGACUCGUACGGGAGGCAGCAGUGGGGAAUUUUGGACAAUGGGCGCAAGCCUGAUCCAGCCAGGCCGCGUGCAGGGUGAAGGCCUUCGGGUUGUAAACUGCUUUUGUACGGAACGAAAAGACUCUGGUUAAUACCUGGGGUCCAUGACGGUACCGUAAGAAUAAGCACCGGCUAACUACGUGCCAGCAGCCGCAGUAAAAC